GCUUACGGCCAUACCUCUCUGGCUCCGCCUGAUCUCGUCUGAUCUCAAAAGCUAAGCGAGAGUAGGGCCGGGUUAGUACUUGAAUGGAAGACCGCCGGGAAAAUCCCAGGGGCGGAAAGCU
ensembl:rRNA 5S_rRNA 5S ribosomal RNA